UAGCACAGGAGAGCUUGCUCUCUGGGUGACGAGCGGCGGACGGGUGAGUAAUGUCUGGGAAACUGCCUGAUGGAGGGGGAUAACUACUGGAAACGGUAGCUAAUACCGCAUGACGUCGCAAGACCAAAGUGGGGGACCUUCGGGCCUCACGCCAUCGGAUGUGCCCAGAUGGGAUUAGCUAGUAGGUGAGGUAAUGGCUCACCUAGGCGACGAUCCCUAGCUGGUCUGAGAGGAUGACCAGCCACACUGGAACUGAGACACGGUCCAGACUCCUACGGGAGGCAGCAGUGGGGAAUAUUGCACAAUGGGCGCAAGCCUGAUGCAGCCAUGCCGCGUGUGUGAAGAAGGCCUUAGGGUUGUAAAGCACUUUCAGCGAGGAGGAAGGGUAGUGUGUUAAUAGCACAUUGCAUUGACGUUACUCGCAGAAGAAGCACCGGCUAACUCCGUGCCAGCAGCCGCGGUAAUACGGAGGGUGCAAGCGUUAAUCGGAAUUACUGGGCGUAAAGCGCACGCAGGCGGUUUGUUAAGUCAGAUGUGAAAUCCCCGAGCUUAACUUGGGAACUGCAUUUGAAACUGGCAAGCUAGAGUCUUGUAGAGGGGGGUAGAAUUCCAGGUGUAGCGGUGAAAUGCGUAGAGAUCUGGAGGAAUACCGGUGGCGAAGGCGGCCCCCUGGACAAAGACUGACGCUCAGGUGCGAAAGC
rnacentral:rRNA from 1 species